rnacentral:rRNA from 1 species
UACGGAGGAUGCGAGCGUUAUCCGGAUUUAUUGGGUUUAAAGGGUGCGUAGGCGGAUUGAUAAGUCAGUGGUGAAAUUCUACAGCUUAACUGUAGACUUGCCGUUGAUACUGUUAGUCUUGAGUGUGGUCAAGGCAGGCGGAGUGUGUAAUGUAGCGGUGAAAUGCUUAGAUAUUACACAGAACACCGAUUGCGAAGGCAGCUUGCUGGGUCAUUACUGACGCUGAUGCACGAAAGCGUGGGGAUCAAACAGGA